rnacentral:rRNA from 1 species
CAGUAGCCGCGGUAAUACGAAGGGGGCUAGCGUUGCUCGGAAUGACUGGGCGUAAAGGGCGCGUAGGCGGCGAUCAAAGUCAGGCGUGAAAUUCCUGGGCUCAACCUGGGGGCUGCGUUUGAUACUUGAUUGCUAGAGUGGGGAAGAGGGUCGUGGAAUUCCCAGUGUAGAGGUGAAAUUCGUAGAUAUGCGGAGGAACACCGAUGGCGAAGGCAAUCCCCUGGGCCUGCACUGACGCUCAUGCACGAAAGCGUGGGGAGCAAACAGGAUUAGAUACCCCCGUAGUCCCUGUCUCUUAUAC